GGAGAGCGGCACCGCGCAGACGCGACGCGCCAGCCUCGCGCCACCGCGCUGUAAGUGCGCAGGCGCGCCGGCCGCUCUCUUUUCUGCUCUUCCUUCUGCCGGUCUCCAGACGUCAGCGGCUGUUGGGUCCUAUGUCGCGCCGGGCCCUCCGGAGGCUGAGGGGGGAACAGCGCGGCCAGGAGCCCCUUGGGCCCGGCGCCCUGCAGUUUGUCCUCCAUGAUGACGAUGAUGCAGAAGAAGAAUGCCCACAGCAGGGGCCAGGUGGCCGGCGUGCCCGGGGCACAGGGAAGGAGGGCGUCCGCGUCAACAACCGGUUCGAGCUGAUCAACAUCGAGGACCUGGACGAGGGCCCGGUGGUCAACGGGGGCAGGACCGACUGUCCACUCACGGACACUGUGGCCUCGGGGAGCAAGAGGAGGCCCCAGGGCGGACGCACGGCGACCAAGCGGGAUGGCAACGUGGCUGACAGGGCAGUGCCCCCCGAGCAGUCUAGUGCGAGCGGCAAACUCCGCAAGAAGAAAAGGAAACAGAAAAACAAGAAGAACGCUGCCGGAGAAACGUCGGAGGACGGGCUGGAGGACAUCGGCCGCAUCCUGGAGAGGAUCGAGGACGGCAGCGGCUCCCGCCGCCCGGGCCCGCCCCCGCUGAGCUCCAGGAAGCACGUGCUGUACGUGGAGCACAGACACUUGAAUCCGGACACAGAACUGAAGAGGUACUUCGGUGCCCGGGCUGUCCUGGGGGAGCAGAGGCCGCGGCAGAGGCAGCGCGUGUACCCCAAGUCUUCGUGGCUGACCACCCCCAAGAGCACGUGGCCGCGCUACAGCAAACCAGGUCUGUCCAUGCGGCUGCUGGAGUCCAAGAAGGGCCGCUCCUGCUUUGCCUUCGAGCACAACGAGGAGUACCAGCAAACGCAGCACAAGUUCCUGGCCGCGGUGGAGUCCAUGGAGCCCAACAACAUUGUGGUUCUGCUGCAGACGAGCCCCUAUCACGUGGAUUCGCUCCUGCAGCUCAGCGAUGCCUGCCGCUUUCAGGAGGACCAGGAGAUGGCCCGGGACCUUGUAGAGCGUGCGCUGCACAGCAUGGAGUGUGCCUUCCACCCCCUGUUCAGCCUCACCAGCGGGACCUGCCGGCUGGACUACCGCAGGCCUGAGAACAGGAGCUUCUACCUGGCCCUCUACAAGCAGAUGACCUUCCUGGAGAAGCGGGGCUGCCCACGCACGGCGCUUGAGUACUGCAAGCUCAUCCUCAGCCUGGAGCCAGACGAGGACCCGCUCUGCAUGUUGCUGCUGGUCGACCAUCUGGCCUUGCGGGCGCGGAGCUACGAGUACCUGAUCCGCCUCUUUCAGGAGUGGGAGGCCCAUCGGAACCUGUCUCAGCUCCCAAAUUUUGCCUUCUCCGUGCCGCUGGCGUACUUCCUGCUGAGUCAGCAGGCGGAGCUCCCCGAGCAGGAGCUGAGCUCGGCGAGGGAGCAGGCCUCGGUCCUGGUCCAGCAGGCCCUCCUCAUGUUCCCCGGAGUUCUCAUGCCUCUGCUCGAGUACUGCAGCGUGCGGCCCGACGCCGCCGUGGCCAGCCACCGCUUCUUUGGGCCCGACGCGGAGAUAAGUCAGCCCCCGGCCCUGAGCCAGCUGGUGAGCCUGUACCUCGGGAGGUCGCACUUUCUCUGGAAGGAGCCGGCCACCAUGAGCUGGCUGGAGGAGAACGUCCGGAAGGUGCUGCAGGCGGUGGACGCCGGGGACCCCGCAGUGGAGGCCUGCGAGAGCAGGCGCAAGGUGCUGUACCAGCGCGCGCCCAGAAACAUCCACCGCCACGUGGUUCUCUCCGAGAUUAAGGAAGCUGUGGCCGCCCUGCCUCCGGUAAGGCCAGCCGGUCACACGUGGGCCGUUCUGCCUGCAGCCCUGCCCUUCGGGUGGGGGUCACGUGGGGGGCCCUUCACUUGCAGACACUUGGCUUUCCACGACCUGGGGGGCUCGGAGCAGUGCCCCUCGGCAGCCCUGAGAGAGACGGCCAUCGUGGAUGGAAGGCCCAUGAUACCCACGCGCCCCCGGGCUCACAGGAGGCCUCCGGGCAGGGCAAGCCUCCUGGUGGAGGAAGCGUUGUCCUGCCGCUCACCCCGGGUUUCCAGCACGCUGAGCCCAGGCUCGCAGACAAGGCCACUCUGCCAAACUGCGGGUCCCGGGGGGAGGUCCGUCCAGGGCGGAGGGGCUCAGGGCCCCUCUCUGUUCUCUGCCCCUUUCCGAAGGAUGUGACCACACAGUCCGUGCUGGGCUUCGACCCCCUGCCUCCCCUGGACACCAUCUACUCCUACGUCAGGCCGGAGAGGCUCAGCCCCGUCAGCCACGGAAACACCAUCGCCCUCUUCUUUCGCUCGCUGUUGCCAAACUACACCAUGGAGGUGCGUGGAGCUGGUCCCGGCCGCCCCGCCGCCUGGGCUCAGGGGGAGAGGCCGGACGACGGCGGGGCCGGGGGUCUGAACCCCGACCAGGGCCUCAACAGGCUGAUGCUGGCCGUGCGGGACAUGAUGGCCAAUUUCCACUUCCGCGACCUGGAGGUGCCGCCGGAGGACAACCCCGAGGGCGACGGGGAGUGGGACUGAGGGCUGCGACCCGCGCCUGCCGCGCGAUGCCGCUCUUGCCUCCGUCUGGUCAGGGUUGGCCGGGUCGCGGCCGUGGAAGCGCUGACCUGUCCGCCUGCCUCUGCUGUUUCUCCUAUAAACGUGAACGGGUUACGCUCUGC